rnacentral:rRNA from 1 species
ACCCGCACAAGCGGUGGAUGAUGUGGAUUAAUUCGAUGCAACGCGAAAACCUUACUACCCUUGACAUGUCCGGAAUCCGAAGAGAUUUGGGAGUGCUCGCAAGAGAACCGGAACACAGGUGCUGCAUGGCUGUCGUCAGCUCGUGUCGUGAGAUGUUGGGUUAAGUCCCGCAACGAGCGCAACCCUUGUCAUUAGUUGCCAUCAUUUGGUUGGGCACUCUAAUGAGACUGCCGGUGACAAACCGGAGGAAGGUGGGGAUGACGUCAGGUCCUCAUGGCCCUUAUGGGUAGGGCUUCACACGUCAUACAAUGGUCGGUACAGAGGGUUGCCAACCCGCGAGGGGGAGCUAAUCCCACAAAGCCGAUCGUAGUCCGGAUCGCAGUCUGCAACUCGACUGCGUGAAGUCGGAAUCGCUAGUAAUCGUGGAUCAGCAUGUCACGGUGAAUACGUUCCCGGGUCUU